ensembl:lncRNA
GUCCUUAACAUGCGACCUUAGCCAUGCUGCCAAGCUGUGUAACACAAGUGGCCUUUGACCUUCGGGUGAUCAGUCAUAUCUCCUCACAGUAUUGGCUCUUCCGUCGGUAAAUCGUAUUCGUGAGAUGUGAAAUCUCCGCUGCCUACUACAGAUGGCCAAAUAUUGGUUCCCAGCAGUUCGACUUUGACAAGUCGUGCUGAGGUCACGGGGACACCUGAUCGAAUUCUGCACCAAUCGAGCGGUACGUUUGGUCUAGUGUUUUAAAUGUUGAAAAAAGCUUGCAGUCAGUCUUCAGCAAGUCUUUAACUAUACAUUGAGUUCUGAAAACCCUGCAGCUGGAAUAGUGAUGAGAUAACAUUUGCCGUUUACCCGUCAGAUUUUAGAAUGGUGAGAUUGUUUCUUCUGAAUAACCAGCUGCAGCCUCAGUUUUAGUCCACAUGAUGCCAGUCAACCAAAGGAUCUUGACGUUCUGCAUGCACCAUUAAGGUGUCCCAUGAAUUGUCAAAAAUGAAUUUGGCUGGAUAAUAUCUUUUCUCUUACAGAUGUGAAG